GCACAAUUCACUUAAAGGCGCCAGCACGUUUCACUUAAAGACAUAGCAGAAUUCACAGUUGUUUGAGAAACACGUGCUUGCUUGUUUUUCUGUACAGACCACACAUUA